AACAAUAACAUAAAGAACAACUGUAUAUUUAUACUUUUAAUGAAUUUUUCUCAAUUAUGAAUGGAUAAUUUGGAUAAAACACAACCACUAAACUGGAAAAUGGUCGUCCAUAUGCACUGGAAACAGAUUAUUGUGAUAUAAAGGACUGUGUUUUUUUCAACUUCGUGAUGCAAUUCGGAUAGGUACCCAAUGUCGGAUUCCCUGAGAAUGCCUCAUUACCACAGAGUUAUUGCGUUGAACAGUCGUCCUUGAUCAUUAGUCGAUGGAUAGUGGGUAACAAGAAAUGGAUAUAAACGACUGAAUCUGGUAAAAUAACCAGGUGACCAACAUGACCAAGUGACUGCCAAGCUUUGAAAAUACCUCUUUUUUAAAUGCAGCAAUUGACGUUCAAGUAACAGGAUAACACCUGACUGCUGUAUGUCUUAGUUCAAAGAAGCAGAAGAAAAUGGUUUAAUUUGUAAAUGCUAAUGAUGUAAAAACUACACUCAAGAGACAGACCUGGUGACAGUAAUGCAGGUUCAGGAAGUUGUUCAUACAGUUCAAUAUAAACCUCUUGAGGGAAUCAUUUGAGGAGACUAACCGUCCAGUGUGUUGGUUUAUAACAUGUUUAAACACAGAUAAUAAUGAGAUAUUGGUACACUCAGAAUCAACGUGGAAACUGUUGGUGAGAUGUGUACAUCAUUCAGCUUUGGAAUCCUGGAACUCAUGAAGUGCAAUGUUCAAAUAGCACUCAGUUCAAUGUUUGAAGAACCUUCAAUGGUAUUUCUGUUUUGCUUGAACAGAACAGUACCGACUCCCAUUACAGUUGUAGAAUUAAGUGACGUGGAAGGCACUGUAGCUCAGCCUAAUUAUUAAUUGUACAAGAAUGUAGCCUGUACAUAUACAUGUUGUAUCAAGAGGAAGUGAAAUUAUUUAUAUGCAUGUCCAGAAGUGACUAGCUGUGUACAUGGAUGUCUUUGUAGAAAACUCAUUAUUGUUAAGUUUUAAACCUUUGCUUUAGUUGCUAUAAAAUUUUAUUGUAAAACUGAUGAAAUAAUCAGCAUCUUUUAAUAUUCUUAAGGAUCACUUAUUCAUAUGAUGGAUUAUUUCUAUUGCAAUGUACUGCUAACUCACAUUGUUGUCACUGUUAUGAUAUGUCACUUAAUGUGUUUCUGCACGUUUGAAAAACCGGAAGUGAUUGCAUAACGUCACUUAUCUGGAAAACGUAGAAUAAUGCCCUGAUUCGGCGUACGGAAACAAAAAUCAUUUUAUGAAUUAAGGACAACCUGUGAAUAAAUAUAUUAAAAUGGCACUGUUACUAUCUUUCUAAAGUUAAAAUAUGAUAUUAAAACAUCUUACACGUUAAAUAAUCUAAAAUAAUGUCUUAAAAUUAGCUUGAAAUAGGCAGUUCACUUUAAUCAUAGCCAAAUAUCUCAAAAAUAAGCACAUGGACCUAUACAUUUUAUUUCGUCGUAUUAUAGGCCAUAUGUCUGUUUAUGACUCUGAGAAGUUUCAUUAAAAUCUACAUUGCAGAAAUAUUUCUAUUUGCGAAAAUGUUUUGAAAAUUGCGUUUUUCCCAUAGACUCCCAUUAUGAAAACUUGCGUUAGGUCGAAAUUUUUCAAAUCAGUCUAGCAAAAAAUCAAGCACACAACCCUAUCUUUUUUAUUUUCUGAAUUUUCUUAGAAUAUUCCGAAGUUUUGAAAAAUCAGAGUUUAAUCAAAUUCUACAUUGUAGAAAAAAUUUCCGGUCCUGAAGUGCAGAACUACCUAAACAGAAUGCGAUGCCAUGUAUUUAUGAUUUACUUCACAUUUUUGUAUUUCAUCAAUAAAACAUUAUUAUCAUUAUAAAUUUAUAAUAUAUAAAUUGAGAGGAAUAAAUAUGUUAGGAAACAGUAAA